UACGUAGGGGGCAAGCGUUGUCCGGAUUUAUUGGGCGUAAAGCGCGCGCAGGCGGUUAUUUAAGUCUGGUGUUUAAACCUUGGGCUCAACCUGGGGUCGCACUGGAAACUGGGUAACUUGAGUACAGAAGAGGAAAGUGGAAUUCCACGUGUAGCGGUGAAAUGCGUAGAGAUGUGGAGGAACACCAGUGGCGAAGGCGACUUUCUGGGCUGUAACUGACGCUGAGGCGCGAAAGCGUGGGGAGCAAACAGG
rnacentral:rRNA from 1 species